rnacentral:rRNA from 1 species
AUUGAACGCUGGCGGCAGGCCUAACACAUGCAAGUCGAGCGGAUGAAGGGAGCUUGCCCCUGGAUUCAGCGGCGGACGGGUGAGUAAUGCCUAGGAAUCUGCCUGGUAGUGGGGGAUAACGUUCGGAAACGAACGCUAAUACCGCAUACGUCCUACGGGAGAAAGCAGGGGACCUUCGGGCCUUGCGCUAUCAGAUGAGCCUAGGUCGGAUUAGCUAGUUGGUGAGGUAAUGGCUCACCAAGGCGACGAUCCGUAACUGGUCUGAGAGGAUGAUCAGUCACACUGGAACUGAGACACGGUCCAGACUCCUACGGGAGGCAGCAGUGGGGAAUAUUGGACAAUGGGCGAAAGCCUGAUCCAGCCAUGCCGCGUGUGUGAAGAAGGUCUUCGGAUUGUAAAGCACUUUAAGUUGGGAGGAAGGGCAGUUACCUAAUACGUAAUUGUUUUGACGUUACCGACAGAAUAAGCACCGGCUAACUCUGUGCCAGCCGCCGCAGUAAAAC